rnacentral:lncRNA from 1 species
GAUCAGAGGCAUCUCCCCAGGGUUACAGGUUUGAUCCCUGGCCUCACUCAGUGGGUUAAGGAUCCUGUCUUGCCAUGAGCUGUCGUGUAGGUCGCAGAUACGGCUCGGAUCCCUCCCUUGAGAAGAUAAAAGCCAAAAAAAAAAAAAAAAGGAAGUCAGUCCUCAUUUCCCGAUGCUCUUUGAUCCCAUGAGUGUCUCUGCACUUUCAGAAAACUGAAGAGUGGUAGCCACAGCUGGGCGCUUCUCUGAAUGCCUUGCUAAUUUAACUCCUCGAAUUCUGUGGGUGGGUGCUGUUAUUCCUCCCAAGUUGCGGAUGAGGAAACUGACGCUCAGAGACACUGAGGCCCCUGUCCAAGGCCACAGAACUAGGACACGGAAGAACCAGGCUUUGGACCCCAUCCCCAGGCAAUGGGAUCUGUACUCUGCUGCCUUGUUUCUGCCCUGUACCCAGACCCUCCCAGCUGCGUGAAGAGAAAGUGCUGAUGCUGAGUCAAGGGACUUAAAAAAAAAAAAAAAAAAAAAAAAAAGCUAGCUAGAACAGUACGCUUAUCUCUUUGCCUUUCCUUAAUUCUCCAUAGGUCACAAUGAAGAGUCAAAAGGUCAAGUCAGAUCUCUACCCUUAGGCAAAUUGGACAAUGAUCCAGCAGGGACAUCAGAGCCACCUAGCGACUCACCUGCUCUCAAAUCUUCUUCCUAGUUUUCUACCACUGUCAACCAGUUCCCAUCCUUUGGUAGACCUCUUUGCUUUAAAGCCUGUCCCUGGAGAUCCUUUUUAAAGUAUGUUACCCCACUUUUGAUCUUUCUCUGAACCUCACUUCCUGUUCCACCUAAUGAGGACCUCAGUUUAAUUCUCUUCAGUCCUUCAAGACCUGGCCCCAUUCCUGGCUUCUCAAGAAACCUGGACUCUAAGGUCUACUUCAUUGUCUAUCUUCUUCAAGUCCCUAUAACUAUGCGAGUCUGUACAACAUACUCUUAUACCAAAUUAUACAUUGUAUUGUUCCCAGCCAGUACAUGUAUAUUAGUCUUGUCUUCUUCAUGAGAAUGUAAGCUCCUUGAGGGUAGGGAACAUGUCUUAAAUUGUUGCAUCCACCACAGUGCCUAGCACAGUGCUUGGCACAUGGGUGCUGAAUAAAUACUUUGUUUAUUGAUCAGCAAUAAAUAAAUAAAAUAAAAUAUGUGUUACCCUGGAUGGGCUACCCCUGGACACUAUAGCUCCCGCUGCCACGUCAGCUAGGAUUGCUUUAUCAGGUCAGGAGGCAAGAGGAAGAGGACCAGAAGGAGGGGCAGAAGGAGACGAGCAGAACAGUGCUGCUGGGCAGCGUGUGUACUGUGCUUACUGCCUGUCAGGCAGGGAGUGGAGUAGUGCCAGCCAUGCGAUGGGGAGGUGGCCACCCAAGGCAGACCCUGUCCCCUUGCCAAGAGCUGGCCAUUGGCCAAUGUGCCUCAGGACUCUAGGGUAAGCUUUGAAACUCCUCUUUGUAAGGAGGGAGCCCUUGGCUUGAAAGAUAUCUGUGCUUAUUCCAGCUACUCUGUCCUUGCUCCAUGGCUAAGAACGAGACUCCUUAACAGAGGUAUGCUGGAGUCCCAUCUAAAAAUACAAUUUGUCAGGGUGCUCUAAAGAUGAAAAAUAAGGACUUCCCGUUGUGGCGCAGUGGUUAACAAAUCCGACUAGGAACCAUGAGGGUGGGUUCGAUCCCUGGACUAGCUCAGUGGGUUAACGAUCUGGCGUUGCUGUGAGCUGUGGCGUAGGUUGCAGACUUGACUCGGAUCAGUGUUGCUGUGGCUCUGGCGUAGGCCAGUGGCUAUGGCUCCAAUUAGACCCCUAGCCUGGGAACUCCAUAU